AAUAGAUACCCUGGUAGUCCACGCCGUAAACGAUGAGUGCUAAGUGUUAGGGGGGUUUUCCACCCCUUAGUGCUGCAGCUAACGCAUUAAGCACUCCGCCUGGGGAGUACGGUCGCAAGACUGAAACUCAAAGGAAUUGACGGGGGCCCGCACAAGCGGUGGAGCAUGUGGUUUAAUUCGAAGCAACGCGAAGAACCUUACCAGGUCUUGACAUCCCGCUGACCGUUAUGGAGACAUAGCCUUCCCUUCGGGGACAGCGGUGACAGGUGGUGCAUGGUUGUCGUCAGCUCGUGUCGUGAGAUGUUGGGUUAAGUCCCGCAACGAGCGCAACCCUUGUCCUUAGUUGCCAUCAUUCAGUUGGGCACUCUAAGGAGACUGCCGUACAAAUACGGAGGAAGGUGGGGAUGACGUCAAAUCAUCAUGCCCCUUAUGACCUGGGCUACACACGUGCUACAAUGGACGGUACAAACGGUCGCGAAGUCGCGAGACGGAGCCAAUCCGAAAAAACCGUUCUCAGUUCGGAUUGCAGGCUGC
rnacentral:rRNA from 1 species